rnacentral:rRNA from 1 species
CACGUAGGGUGCGAGCGUUGUCCGAAAUUAUUGGGCGUAAAGAGCUCGUAGGCGGUGUGUCGCGUCGGCCGUGAAAACCUGCAGCUUAACUGUGGGCUUGCGGUCGAUACGGGCAUCACUGGAGUUCGGCAGGGGAAACUGGAAUUCCUGGUGUAGCGGUGAAAUGCGCAGAUAUCAGGAGGAACACCGGUGGCGAAGGCGGGUCUCUGGGCCGAUACUGACGCUGAGGAGCGAAAGCGUGGGGAGCGAACAGG